rnacentral:rRNA from 1 species
CCUACGGGAGGCAGCAGUGGGGAAUUUUGGACAAUGGGGGCAACCCUGAUCCAGCCAUUCCGCGUGAGUGAAGAAGGCCUUCGGGUUGUAAAGCUCUUUCGCAAGGGAAGAAAACUUAUGAUCGAAUAAAUCAUGAGGUUGACGGUACCUUGAUAAGAAGCACCGGCUAACUACGUGCCAGCAGCCGCGGUAAUACGUAGGGUGCGAGCGUUAAUCGGAAUUACUGGGCGUAAAGCGUGCGCAGGCGGUUUUGUAAGUCGGAUGUGAAAUCCCCGGGCUCAACCUGGGAACUGCGUUCGAAACUGCAAGGCUAGAGUGUGUCAGAGGGGGGUAGAAUUCCACGUGUAGCAGUGAAAUGCGUAGAGAUGUGGAGGAAUACCAAUGGCGAAGGCAGCCCCCUGGGAUAACACUGACGCUCAUGCACGAAAGCGUGGGGAGCAAACAGGAUUAGAUACCCUGGUAGUCCACGCCCUAAACGAUGUCAACUAGUUGUUGGUAGAGUAAAAUCUAUGAGUAACGUAGCUAACGNGUGAAGUUGACCGCCGUGGGGAGGUACGGUCGCGAAGAGUUAAACUUACGAAGUAAGUUAGUUAGGCGUUGAGACGNGCCGACGGACGACGACGAGGGAGGAGG